CAGGGCAUUCAAAUUUUCUUUUGAAUUUAUUUAAGUAUACAAUUUUUUUCUUUCUCCAGAUCUUUCUCUUCUUGGCAGCUACAGACCCAAGAAAGCCAAAGCAAGAUCUACUCAUGGGAAAGACCGUGACAGUUCUUCUGAUGUUUGUAGUGAGGAUGUGAUCUCUGGUUCACCCAACAGGCUGGCCCAUUCUGGUGGUUCGUUAGUGCAUUCAGCACCUUCAGCAUUUCAGAAGCAUUCUCUAAGUUCUGUACUAAAUCGAUCUUCUCUAAGGGAACGAUUUAACUCUGGUUGGCCUCCACCAGCAAAUGGAGAUGAGAUCCAUAAAAGAGUGAAAAAUAUUUUAAGGACACACAGUGCUAGGCAGCGCCUGGCGUUUGAUGAAAGUAACCCAUCAAAAGGAAACUUGACUAAUACAAGACAAUCUUCACAUAAAGCACACUUAUCCUUAAGUGAUCUGCAGAGCAGUUCACCAGUGCAGCAGAACAUCACUGUUCACUUGGAUAAUGGUGAAUUCUGGUAUAACCGUGCAGCUGUAUACAAAGGGAAGCCUCACAGAGCAAUCUUUGAAGACAGUCUUGGGAAAAUAUAUAGAAACAUGUACCAAAAAGCUUCUGGCACUAUUUCAGACCAAAAAGCACACUCCUGAUGGCAAUUCAGCUGAAAAUGCACAGUACACAGUGUUGAUAUUUCUUAGCAAAACUUUUUUUAAGUGACGAAUAUUUGUACUCUAUUUUUAAGAUGUAAUUAUGGCUGGGCAGGAUUUUGGAGAAAUUGAGUUCUGGUCUGGGUUGCCAAAUGAAUGCUAUUAGCAGCACCCCCACCACCACAACACCUCUGCUCCAAAAAUUAAAAAAAAAACACUAACAAACAACAGCAAGAAAAAGCCGUAAGCCCCUCCACAGUCGAUGAGGGUGAUGUUGCUUCUUUGAGACUCUCUGAAGAUAGCCAUUUUAAAGACUAAUAUGUCUGCUGGAUGUUCCUGCCUGACAUAGGUCAAGUUUCAGUGCAGUCAAUUAUGAUGUAAAUAAUUAAAUCUAUGUAGUAACAUAAGAAGCAAUAAGUCCUAGUGUUCAGUGAGGGUAUCUAAAGGGGAGAGUAAGUGUGAGUAUUGAUAUAAAUGGCAUGCUCUGGGAAAGAGAGAAUUUGAAUUGUUUUCUAGAAAUUUACCUUUGGAUUGUUUUUGAGAAGGGCAGAAAGAUGACUCCAAUAGUGACCUACAUGCAUGCUUUCAAAGUGGUUUCAAGCACCUUUAGUCACAAAUUUUCAAAUAAUGUCAAAUUUUAGAAGAAACCCACCCAGAUCAGCAGCCUUCGUAUUAGAAGAAAGGCUUUCUUUAUGUACCCUGUGUGUUUGAAAGUUUCCAGGCUUUCUUGAAUGCAGUCCUGGCACUUGCAAAUAUAGUUGUAGUCUUUAAAAAUACAAAUGAAAAAGGAGUAGAGAGGGGGAAAGACUGGAGCAAGGUAGUCAGCAAGCUCUUGUAUCUAGUACAGGCCUUCUGAAGUGCCUGCAUCACAAUCCCACCUAAUUUGGAGCCUGUCCUUGCCAGCCUGCUGGGAUCCUGUUGGCAGAAAUCACAUCCUUUCUGCUAAAGGCCACCAAAUGUUCAUCAGCGGUUCAGUGCUAUCCCAAGGGAUGAAACCUUUUCAGCCUUGCAUUGAACAGAUCCCACAUUAGCAAGCCAGGGCAAAUUGCCCAUCUAUUGAAAAGCCGAAUGCUUAAAAGGGCAAGAGUGUCCAUCUCCUGCUUCCCUUUUAGAAUGGGGAAGGGGGAAAACACAUGCAUAUUCUGGCUCCUUCCCUAACUAAGUGAACAGAUUCAGUUAUACCGAUGCCAUUUUACCUGUUAUGAUUGGAUAAAAGAUAAAGCUUGCAGUACAGAUGGCAGAACAUAUGACUGUUACCUGCCAGCGUGCCUAGAUAAACAAAAAGUUGGUCUACUUUGCCUUCCAUCCUUUAAUGCUGAGACAACGUAAUUGAUUUGAGAAAGCAGUUGGUGAGCAAUUAUGCUGGUGGGAAAGCAUGCUGAAAGGUUGUGUGCUUCUGCUUCAGGAAAGGGGACUCUCAGAGGAAGUGUCUUCCAUGCAGACAUUUCUAUUCCUUGUAACAGUUAAGCAAGUUGAAGUAGAUUAACACUGAUCAUUUCCUGUCCCUGCUGCCAUUUAACACAUUAGUGCUUUCAAAGGGUAUUAGCUGCACAACCUUACUCUGUGGAUAACUGUUGAGGCACUCUGUGAAGAAGUAGUAUGUUUUUUGUUUGUUUGUUUGUUUUGUAGAUGUGAAAAGAAAAACUUACCUGAGCCAUGCCACUGAAGACAUGGUGGCCAUGGAGUAUUGUGUUACCAGUACUUGGUAUUCUGUCAUUAGUCCUAUGAACUCAGAUUAGUCCAGAAAAUAAUAGUUUCUGUCUUGCUGCUCCUGGAAAAUAAGCUCAAGGCACAAGCAGGGGAUCAGAGAGGUUGGAGGCCACUAUGAAAAACUAGGAUAAGAUUUUGGAGAGGUCCAGAGGAUGUAACUGGAUAAUCACAGCAUACGGUAAAAUGACAACUUUUGAUUUUUCAUCACGGACUAAAACUAGAUGGGAGAAAUAGAAAGUGUCAUAUACAUAGUAUACUGAAUUCUGACCAGUAUGGACAUUUUCACUGAAGCCUUUGUAUGCAGCAUAACAAGUGAAGCAGAUAGGCUCUGAGUGUCACUGGCCCUGCUCCAGCUGCAGAGAGAGAUGGUGUGUACGUCUUUCUGCAUCAGCUGCUGCAGGAUAUGUUUCUCUCUUGGGUCAGAGUCAUUCCACAGCGUAUAUGCUGUGAUACUGCACAGUUCUCUUCCAAACACCGUACUGGAAAUCCAGUUUGGUUAAUGGAAAGCUAUUCUAUGAAAUGUGACUUAAAACCCAAAGUACUCUAUCUGUCCAUAAAAUCUGCAAGCCACUUGUUUUUUAAAAGCUUUUGGCCCCUUCCCUGUUUGCUCAGCUAACCCUCCAAUUAAUAUGCAUACAGCUCAAGUGCACUGAGCACUGCUGCUCCUUUGCUACUGCAGCAUGCGAUAAGUAUAGGUUCAGGCAGCGAACCAACAUAGUAAUAAACUGUAAUUGUUUAGUGCACCUUGCCUUCUAAUACAAUUUAAAUCCCUUCUAUCAAAUGCAAAUUUUUAGGUUCCUGAGUGGAGCUUUAAAUAGCAUUUUCUAUGCUCAUUCCUUAUCUUUUGCCAUCCACAAAGUGGUCUGUUAGUGACAUUGGGAUGGCAUCAUUCCACCUCCAUCAUUUUACCUCCUAAAGGAAAGCUGCCUACUCAAAUCUAGAAAUAAUGGGGUAGAUUAAGAGAAUUAGUGUGGUUUUUUUUUUGUUACAGUCUAUCUCUCUCUCUUGCCCUCCCUGAGCUAUUAUAACCCAUGUGUAUUAUUGCCAAAUGUUUUUCAGCAUCCAGUAUUGCUUGCAGUAUGCAGUCUAAUCAGUGUAAUAUUUUAAUCACUUUCAUUUUAAUAAAUCAGAGCCAACUUCCAGCAUGUUCCCUUUCCUACAAAGAACUUGAUACAGCUUAGGACCUUGGGAUGGCUCACUAGGCGUAUAGUUUGUCUACUUAUUGGGCUGAAUGCCAAAUCCUUUGCUGAGUGGCAGUUGCUUUGAAAAUCACUUAGUCAUUGACCUGUUGUGGUUUAAAUGACAAAAAAAAAAAAA